AGUGAACGCUGGCGGUAGGCCUAACACAUGCAAGUCGAACGGCAGCACAGUAAGAGCUUGCUCUUACGGGUGGCGAGUGGCGGACGGGUGAUGAAUACAUCGGAAUCUACUUUUUCGUGGGGGAUAACGUAGGGAAACUUACGCUAAUACCGCAUACGACCUACGGGUGAAAGCAGGGGAUCUUCGGACCUUGCGCGAUUGAAUGAGCCGAUGUCGGAUUAGCUAGUUGGCGGGGUAAAGGCCCACCAAGGCGACGAUCCGUAGCUGGUCUGAGAGGAUGAUCAGCCACACUGGAACUGAGACACGGUCCAGACUCCUACGGGAGGCAGCAGUGGGGAAUAUUGGACAAUGGGCGCAAGCCUGAUCCAGCCAUACCGCGUGGGUGAAGAAGGCCUUCGGGUUGUAAAGCCCUUUUGUUGGGAAAGAAAAGCAGCAGGUUAAUACCCCGCUGUUCUGACGUUACCCAAAGAAUAAGCACCGGCUAACUUCGUG
rnacentral:rRNA from 1 species